rnacentral:rRNA from 1 species
GAUGAACGCUGGCGGCGUGCCUAAUACAUGCAAGUCGAGCGAACGGACGAUAAGCUUGCUUCUCUGAUGUUAGCGGAGGACGGGUGAGUAACACGUGGAUAACCUACUUAUAUUACUGGGAUAACUUCGGGAAACCGGAGCUAAUACCGGAUAAUAUUUUGAACCGCAUGGUUCAAAAGUGAAUGACGGUCUUGCUGUCACUUAUAGAUGGUUCCGCGCUGUUUUAGCUAGUUGGUAAGGUAACGGCUUACCAAGGCAACGAUGCAUAGCCGACCUGAGAGGGUGAUCGGCCACACUGGAACUGAGACACGGUCCAGACUCCUACGGGAGGCAGCAGUAGGGAAUCUUCCGCAAUGGGCGAAAGCCUGACGGAGCAACGCCGCGUGAGUGAUGAAGGUCUUCGGAUCGUAAAGCUCUGUUAUUAGGGAAGAACAUAUGUGUAAGUAACUGUGCACAUCUUGACGGUACCUAAUCAGAAAGCCACGGCUAACUACGUG